CCAACGAACCAAGUAAUCACAAGAAGAUUGCUUCUUGACAUGGCCGAUGACCACAUGGAGACCACGGCCGACGACGACGAUCUUGCUCUCCAGGCAGCUCACGGACAGAGGCUUCAUGAUCCGCUCGGGCAUGGGAGGCCCGUCCACAGGAUCCCAGGAAUCCGUCUCCGGAUCGUAGACCUUCACCUUCAUCCUCUCGUACUCGGAGAUGACGAAGAGGCGUCCGUCGAUGACCACGCUGAGCCCCGUCCACCCCUCGCGCAUCCCGGCCGGCAUCGCCUCCCAGCGGUCGGCCUUGGGGUCGUACACCUGCCCUCUCGGCGACGAGAAGAAGGGCCACGCGCAGCCCUCGGUGACGUAGAGCCUGCCGCCGACGACGGCGGAGUCCGAGGAGGCCAUGUUGGCGCCCAUGCUGGCGAUCGGCUGCCACACGCCGUUCACCGGGUCGAGGACCUCCGCCGAGUCCAGCUCGAACUGGUCCGUGCUGUAUCCCCCGGCGACGUACACGCGGCCGUCGAUGACGCCGCCGGCGAAGAAGGAGCGCGCCGAGAGCAUCCGGGGCACGACGGUCCAGCGGUUCUUGCAAACGUCGUACUUCAGCACCAGGUGCAGCGGGCAGUCCAUGUCGGAGACGAGCCCGCCGCAGACGAGCAGGUGGGCGGCGUCCUCGCCGGGGACGGCGAUGCAGCCGAAGCCGCGGGGGCAGGCCCGGUCCCGGCAGGGCAUGCCGGGGAUGGCGUGCCAGGCGAGGGAGUCGAGGUCCAGCACCUUCCACUGGAUCUUGCCCGUGCAGCGGUGGAAGGCGAGCGUGAAGAGCCAGGGCGAGCGGAGGCCCAUGGCCUUGCGGUGCGUGAAGAAGCGCGCCUUGUCGGCCAGCAGGUGGCGCCAGCGGCGGCACACGAGCCUGCAGGCGCCGUGGGCCUCCACGGGCAGCCGGAGGAGGCAGUUGAGCGCCGCGUCGUCCGGGAGGCCCGGGAUGAGGGGCGUCUCCCAUGGAGGUUGCUGCUCCGGUUCGGUUGAGGACGGUGAGGUGGUGCCGGCGAGCCGGAACCUGGGCGUCAGCUUCAUGUCGGAAUCGCCCAGCUUCUGGACCGGAGAGUGGUGAGACGAGACUCGAACGCGGCGCAUGCCCGUCUCCAAGAACACUGA
rnacentral:rRNA from 1 species